GUGGGGGGGCAGCUAACACAUGCAAGUCGAGCGGAACGACUUAACUGAACCUUCGGGGAACGUUAAGGGCGUCGAGCGGCGGACGGGUGAGUAAUGCCUAGGAAGUUGCCCAGUAGAGGGGGAUAACCAUUGGAAACGAUGGCUAAUACCGCAUAACCUCUUCGGAGCAAAGCAGGGGACCUUCGGGCCUUGCGCUAUUGGAUACGCCUAGGUGGGAUUAGCUAGUUGGUGAGGUAAGGGCUCACCAAGGCGACGAUCCCUAGCUGGUCUGAGAGGAUGAUCAGCCACACUGGAACUGAGACACGGUCCAGACUCCUACGGGAGGCAGCAGUGGGGAAUAUUGCACAAUGGGCGAAAGCCUGAUGCAGCCAUGCCGCGUGUGUGAAGAAGGCCUUCGGGUUGUAAAGCACUUUCAGCAGUGAGGAAGGCAGCAAGAUUAAUACUCUUGUUGUUUGACGUUAGCUGCAGAAGAAGCACCGGCUAACUCCGUGCCAGCAGCCGCGGUAAUACGGAGGGUGCGAGCGUUAAUCGGAAUUACUGGGCGUAAAGCGCAUGCAGGUGGUGAGUUAAGUCAGAUGUGAAAGCCCGGGGCUCAACCUCGGAAUUGCAUUUGAAACUGGCUCACUAGAGUACUGUAGAGGGGGGUAGAAUUUCAGGUGUAGCGGUGAAAUGCGUAGAGAUCUGAAGGAAUACCAGUGGCGAAGGCGGCCCCCUGGACAGAUACUGACACUCAGAUGCGAAAGCGUGGGGAGCAAACAGGAUUAGAUACCCUGGUAGUCCACGCCGUAAACGAUGUCUACUUGGAGGUUGUGGCCUUGAGCCGUGGCUUUCGGAGCUAACGCGUUAAGUAGACCGCCUGGGGAGUACGGUCGCAAGAUUAAAACUCAAAUGAAUUGACGGGGGCCCGCACAAGCGGUGGAGCAUGUGGUUUAAUUCGAUGCAACGCGAAGAACCUUACCUACUCUUGACAUCCAGAGAACUUUCCAGAAAUGGAUUGGUGC
rnacentral:rRNA from 1 species